UUAUUUAUGUAACCACAUGGUCUUGCCUCCCCCCUUGUGGGGGGUCAUGGUGGACCAGGCUGGUGGCCCUUGGUGACGUCAUAAGCGGCUGGAAUGAGGGGAGGAGCGGUGUGUUCCGUGUUCCUUUGUGGGCGAGUUAGUGGUUGGAGUGGUUGGUUGGCUUGUUGCUCUUGACUGUUGAUUGAGUACCUUUGUCUUCACACCAUCUUGUGCAGCAUCUUGUAGCUUUGGCUCUCAGAACAUCUGAGCAAAGUGACAAGGAACUGCUGCAGAUACCUUGUGGUGAUCUCUCUGCCAGCUAGUCACACGUGCUGUGAUGGGCGCUGCGUGCAGUCAGAUCAGCCCUGAGCCUGACGUGGUGGGAACGGAGGCUGAUAACAUGAGGAAGCCGCAGCUGGAGCGUGCGGUGUCAUCUCUUAACGUUCCAGCAAUUGCGGCAGCCCAUGUUAUUAAGCGCUACGUCGCCCAGGCGCCAGAGGAACUCUCCCUGGAGGUAAGCAGUUACAGGCAUUCCUUGUUGUCAUGCACAGGAGGGUAGAAGGUGUGAACGCCUCAGGAAUAUUCUCAGCCACCUUGAGAAUGUCUCGUGAGGUGAAGCUCGGAAGGUUUGGUUCCAGCUUAGACUUGGGCUGGGUUGGGAGGAGUUGGGCCAUCUCUCAAAUAUGGUUUGAUUGGGCAUUUGAACUCUCUGAUCAAGCAGAUGCUGCCCAGUUAUGGGAGCCUGGUCUCUGAGCAACAGCAGACCGGUGUGUGAAGUGUGCAGAUGUGUUCAGACAGCCCUGCUAACAGAUGCCCGUGGUUAAACUGAAGCUCUCCAUUGCCUUUGGCAGAGAGCCUGCUGCUUUUGAGACCCGUUUCCUACUGCACGGCUGCAUUGUGUAUGUUGUGUAACUCCUGUACCUCCAAGUUCAGUUUUGGAAGGGAAAAUGCCA